UUGGACAAUGGGCGCAAGCCUGAUCCAGCCAUGCCGCGUGCAGGAUGAAGGCCCUCGGGUUGUAAACUGCUUUUGUACGGAACGAAAAGCCUCUUUCUAAUAAAGAGGGGUGAUGACGGUACCGUAAGAAUAAGCACCGGCUAACUACGUGCCAGCAGCCGCGGUAAUACGUAGGGUGCGAGCGUUAAUCGGAAUUACUGGGCGUAAAGCGUGCGCAGGCGGUCUUGCAAGACAGUGGUGAAAUCCCCGGGCUCAACCUGGGAACUGCCAUUGUGACUGCAAGGCUGGAGUACGGCCGAGGGGGAUGGAAUUCCGCGUGUAGCAGUGAAAUGCGUAGAUAUGCGGAGGAACACCGAUGGCGAAGGCAGUCCCCUGGGCCUGUACUGACGCUCAUGCACGAAAGCGUGGGGAGCAAACA
rnacentral:rRNA from 1 species